GAAGGUGUGGAUUUUUGAUAUUUUAUGGCACACUGUCAGUACUCAGUGUUGUCUUACGUAUUGUGGGCUCAGUGUACUAAAGUGGUUAGUGUAUUGAGUGUUCGACACCUCUCAGUGGGGGAGGGAAUCCGACAUAUGAAGUGUGAGGUUGAGUGCCUAGGCCAAGGUAGCCCUUACAUGGAGAGUAAGUUGAGCUGGCUCUGGGAGGGAGUUAGCUUUGACUGCUCAGGAUUUACGUCGAAGGGGCAUAGGCAGUUCGGUGGAUUAGAUCAUGCCUUAGACUAUGUUUUGUGCCUGUGGAGGUACAAGUAGGUAUAAGGUUUACUUGCGAGUUAAAGAGUGCCAGGGGGCAUUCCGUUGGUCAUGAAAGGCCAUACCGGCCUAGGUCAUGCAUUCAUACAUUUUAAAUGGCUAAAUUAUAUACUAUGUUGAAUUUAUUAUUCAUUUAUUUGAUUAUGGCUUACUUUGUAAUAAUCAAUGUAGAUUUCUUUGUUACUGAGACUGUGGUUGUCUCAUCCCUUUCUUUUCAAUAUUAUAGGUCCAGGUGAAGGAUCCAGUGGUGGACGGGGAAAGGAGCAAAGCUAGGGGUUUGCUUGUGAUUUGAGGGGAGAAAGGUCCGUACGCUUGUGGCUGUACACCUUUCAGUUCUAAUAUGGCUCGAAGGGGAAGGGGUAGAUCGAGGAAUGAGGAACGACCACCACCUCUACCUCCUCUGCCUCCGCCUCUGCCUCCACCUCCACCUCCACCACCACCACAGGGGACGGAUGCAGUCAUGGCUAGGCUGCUUGAUGUUAUGGUAGAUAUAUAGCAAAAUCUUAGAAGUCAUACUGUUCCAGAUCAGCAUGUUGACCUAAGUGCUGGACAGGGAUCUUCUAGUACUAUGGGAGCUCAUGUAUCAGUUGCUAAUAAUCAAGAGGAUGACAUAUCCGAACCUUGGAAGGAAUUCUCUCGCUCUAAUUCGACCACAUAUGAUGGUAGUAUGCUUGAUAGGAAAGCUGAGGAGUGGUUGGAUCGGAUGGAGUAGUUAUUUACUGUUGUGAGGUGUACAUCUGAGCAGAGGGUUAUCUUGACUACGAUGCAGCUUGUUGGUGAAGCCAAGCAUUGGUGGGAUUUGUUAAGCCCACAUAUGGAAGAUCUAUGUCUUGGGCUGAAUUUAAAGAAAGAUUUUAUGAUUUUCACUUUCCACAAGCUUUUAGAGAUGAGAAAGAGGCAGAGUUUCAUGCAUUUCAGCAGGGGGACUUAGACGAGGAGACUUUUAUGAGAAAAUUCAAUCAGCUGUCUAAGUUCUCAACAUAUCUGAAGGCUUCUAAUGAUAGCAAGUGGAAAGCAAAGAGGUUAUUAGAAAAGAUGAGGCCAGAAUACCGCCAGCAGCUAUCUUUGUUGGGCGAGGCAAUAUAUGAUGAGAUGUGCAAUCGUCUGAGGAUUGCCGCUUACCGAGGCCGAGACACAGAGAGUAGCCAGAGCAGGGAUACACGAGGUCGAUUUUCUUUUGGGUUGGCUCCUACUGGUGGUGUAUCUAAGAGAAUGGGUUUUAGCUCUGGUUCUUCUUCUAGUGGCUCCUUUAGAACUGGGUCUUCUUCUACUUCUGGUAAUCAAAAUUUAAAUAGGGAUUCAAGAUUUCAAGGUAAUCGGGGUGGUAAUAUGAGAUCUGGGGGUUCUCGUUUCUCUGGGAAUGCUCCAGCACGUUCUUCACAGACUAGUCAAGCCCCAAUUCUAAGCACAGCGAGGUCACCUUGCAAUAGAUGUGGUAGGGUUCAUUUUGGUCACUGCUUUGCUUGCUACAAGUGUGGAAAGUUAGGCCAUUUGAUCCGUGACUGCCUUAAUUUACAUGAGAGCUCGGACCGGAGGAACGUGAUUCCUGGUAGAGUGUAUACAGUAUCUCAAGAGGAGGCUAGAAAGUCAUCGAAUCUAAUCACUGGUAUGGUUUCUAUCUGUGGCCUCGAUUUAGAAGCUUUGUUUGAUUGUGGUGUGAUGCAUUCUUUUAUUUCUGCCGAGCGCUUAAAUAGAAUGGCUAUGCCUGCUGACCAGUUGCCCCAUGAUAUAAAAGUUUCCUCUACUUCUGGUUUGGUUGGUCAAUCUAGUGUGGUGUGUAGGACUAAGAUGACUUUUAAUGGGCGAUCGACUUAGGUGAAUAUGAUCAAAUUACCUAUGCAAGGGAUUGAUUUAAUUAUUAGUAUGGAUUGGUUGACAGCUUAUGGUCCUGUCUUAAAUUGUGUGGCUAAGACAGUGACUUUGGUAGAAGUACCGCAGGUGAUCGAGGAAUACCCUAGUCAUUCUUGUUUUCUUUCUUCUUUGCAAGUUGAAAGGUUGAUUGAGCAGGGUUGUGAGGCUUACGUGGUAGUGCUCGCUACCCAAGGGUCUGAGACAGGUAUGGUGGAUGAAAUUGAGGUUGUUAGGGAGUUCCCAGAGGUGUUUUCUGAGGAUGUAUCAAGAUUACCUCCAGAACGUGAGGUUGAAUUCUCGAUUGACCUGGUACCAAGGACUCAGCCAAUUUCAAAGGCUCCCUAUAGAAUGGCUCCUUCAGAGUUAGUUGAGUUGAAGAAGCAACUUGAGGAGCUGUUAGAUAAGGGAUUUAUUAGACCUAGUGUUUCUCCUUGGGGAUCUCCUGUCUUAUUUGUGAAGAAGAAGGAUGGUAGUUUAAUAUUGUGUAUCGAUUACAGGUAGUUGAAUAAGGUUACGGUAAAGAACAAGUACCUACUGCCUCGCAUUGAUGAUCUCUUAGAUCAGUUGGUUGGUGCCACGAUUUUCUCUAAGAUUGAUUUACGUUCAGGGUACCAUUAGCUGAGGGUUAGUGAGAAGGAUGUGGCGAAGACUGCUUUCAGGACUCGGUAUGGUCAUUACAAGUUUUUGGUUAAGCCACUUGGGCUAACUAAUGCGCUUGCGGUUUGCAUGGACUAUAUGAACCGCAUUUUUCGACCUUUCUUGGAUCAGUUGUGGUAGUUUUUAUUGACGAUAUACUGAUCUGCUCUAAAAAUGAGGAACAGCAUGCCAGACACUCGAGGACUGUCCUAAGGUUUCUGCGAGAUCAUAAGCUAUAUGCCAAGCUCAGUAAGUGCGAGUUUUGGAUGAGAGAGGUUAGGUUCUUGGGACAUAUCAUGUCGGCAAAUGGUAUUGCAGUUGAUCCAUAUAAGGUUGAAGCAGUCAUGCAAUGGGAGAGACCAAAAUCGAUAACUGAGAUCCGUAGUUUUCUGAGAUUAGCAGGUUACUACCGACGUUUUAUCAAAGGUUUCUCUCAGAUUUUGAUGCCUUUGACUAAACUCAUAAGGAAGGAUAGGCCAUUUAUUUGGGAUGAUAAGUGCGAGACAGCUUUUCUUGAGUUGAAAGAAAGGUUAACAACAGCUCCAGUGUUGGUGAUUUCGGAUCCUCAAAAGCCCUAUGAUGUGUAUACUGAUGCCUCUCAUAAGGGUCUUGGUUGUGUUCUAAUGCAAGAUGAGAGACCAGUGGCAUAUGCAUCUAGACAACUUAGACCGCAUGAGGAGAAUUAUCCAACACAUGAUCUCGAGUUGGCUGUGGUGGUCUUUGUGUUAAAGAUCUGGCGUCAUUAUCUUUAUGGAACAGAGUUCAGGGUCAUGAGCGACCAUAAAAGUCUCAAGUACCUGGUGGAUCAAAAAGAGCUGAACAUAAGACAGAGAUGUUGGAUGGAGUUUCUUAAAGAUUAUAAUUUUGAAUUUAAGUAUCAUUCGGGGAAAGCAAAUGUGGUAGCAGAUGCUCUUAGUCACAAGACCUUACAUGUGGCCUAUUUAAUGGUUCGGGAGCAUAGAUUGAUGGAAUCUUUGGUUGAAACUUCUUUGGGUAUGACUAAGUUCUCUUUGAAUGGUCUUAAUACUAUGGUUAUUUCUAAUGAAUUUUGGAAAGAGAUACGAGAUGCUUAGCUUCAAGAUCCGAUUUUGUUAAAAAUAUGUUAAGACAUCGAGAAUGGUGAGAUAAUGGACUAUUGGUUUAGUGAUGAUGGGUAUGUGGUUUUCAAGGAUAGGGUAUGUAUUUCUAACAAUGAGUCUAUUCGGAAGAAAUUAUUGGAUGAGGCAUAUCGAAGUAGCUACACCCUUCAUCCUGGUGCUACUAAGAUGUAUCAUGACAUGCAGCAUCAUUGGUGGUGGCCAGGCAUGAAAAAGGAUGUCACAGAGUAUGUUAGUAAGUGUUUGACCUAUCAGAAGGUCAAGAUAGAGCACCAAAAGCCAUCGGGGUUAUUACAGCAGCCUUUAAAGAUUCCUAAAUGGAAAUGGGAGAGUAUUUCAAUGGAUUUUGUAUCUGGUUUGCCGAGGACCCAGGCUAGUUUUGACUCUAUCUGGGUAAUUGUAGAUUGUUUAACUAAGUCAGCACAUUUCUUACCGGUCAAGACCACCUAUACAGUUGAUAGGUAUGCUGAGAUCUAUAUUAAGGAGAUUGUGCGACUACAUGGGGUACCGAGGGAUAUUGUUUCAGACCGUGAUUCUCGAUUUACAUCAAAUUUAUGGCAAGCUAUGCAAAAGGCUAUGGGCAUGGAUCUGAAGUUUAGUACGUCUUAUCAUCCACAAACGGAUGGACAAACUGAGCGGACAAUCCAGACAUUAGAGGAUAUGUUGAGGUCAUGUGCCCUAGAGCUUCAGGGAAGCUGGGAUAAGCAUUUACCUCUGGCAGAGUUUGCUUAUAAUAACAGUUAUCAUGCCAGUAUUCAAAUGGCUCCUUAUGAAGCAUUGUAUGGAAGACGGUGCAGAUCGCCUCUUUGUUGGUAUGAGUUGAGUGAGAGGACAAUGAUGGGACCGGAUGUGGUAGAUGAGACCACAGAGAAAAUCAAAUUGAUCCAAUAAAAGCUUCUUACAGCACAAAGUAGACAGAAAAGUUAUGCAGAUAAUCGUCGUAAGGACUUGUCUUUUGAGGUUAGGGAUCAUGUCUUUCUUAAAGUUUCCCCAUUGACGGGCAUUGGAUGCUCAAUUCGGGCUAAAAAGUUAUCUCCUCGAUAUAUGGGUCCUUUUGAGGUUUUGAAGAAAGUUGGGCCGGUGGCAUAUCAGUUGGCAUUGCCGCCUCAAUUAGUGGGUCUACACAACGUGUUUCAUGUGUCACAGCUGAAGAAGUACCAGCCAGACCCAUCGUAUGUGAUAGAACCUGAAGAGGUUGAAAUUCAAGAUAAUUUAACCUACCGGACUGAACCAGAUCGUAUUGUAGAUGCUAAGAAUAAGCAACUCAGAAAUAAGACAAUCCGGUUGGUAAAAGUGAUUUGGAAAGGGACGGCUCUGAGAGAUGCAACUUGGGAGACCGAGGAUCAAAUGAGGAAGGAAUAUUCACAGUUGUUUCCCUAGAUCAGCUUUUAUAAGGGGAAAACAGAUGCAGAAAUGCAGAGAAAAUGAACAAAAAAAAAGAAACGCACAAACGGGAGAAAGAGAGAGAGGAAGAAGAGAAGAGAAAGGGAGGGAGUUAGGCUUGGAUCUAGGAGUCUUUGCGACCGUUGCGAGCUCAGCUACAUGAUAGGAAUUGUUGGUGGAAUUUGUUCAGAAAUUAAGGAACAAGCUGAGCUCUAUUUUAUACAAGGGGAACCCUUUUGGUACUAAAGGGUUGAGGUCCAGGUGAAGGAUCCAGUGGUGGACGGGGAAAGGAGCAAAGCUAGGGGUUUGCUUGUGAUUUGUAAAGAACUGCAACCCCUUUCUUUUGAGCAAAUAUAUUGUAAUGUAUUUAGGAUUAGGGUGCCAGUAGGAUAUGAUUAUGUAUGUGUGUGUGAAUAUGUGUGGAUUGUGUGCUUGUGUAUGAAUUUUUGUCUGUUUGCAGACUUGUGGCUAGGAAACUUGGUUAUGGUGUGUGGUUUUGAUGGAUUUACUUAAUAGACCAAGUUUCUAUUACAAGCAGAUAUUUAUU